UACGUAGGGGCCAAGCGUUGUUCGGAUUUACUGGGCGUAAAGGGCGCGUAGGCGGCGCAACAAGUCACUUGUGAAAUCUCCGGGCUUAACCCGGAGCGGCCAAGUGAUACUGUCGUGCUAGAGUGCGGAAGGGGCUACUGGAAUUCUCGGUGUAGCGGUGAAAUGCGUAGAUAUCGAGAGGAACACCUGCGGCGAAGGCGGGUAGCUGGGCCGACACUGACGCUGACAGCGCGAAAGCCAGGGGAGCAAACGGG
rnacentral:rRNA from 1 species